GGACUCCAGUAGUCAAAUGAACUCAUGAUAAAUGGAAGUAUUGGCUCAUUAAAUAUUGCUUUGGAUUUUGCCCUUGGGAAGGCUACAGUUUCAUAGUGUAGUUGUGAUUUGAGAUGGUCCAAGUUCUGCUUUGGUUUUCUUUUUUUUUUUUCUUUCACAGAUUUCUCUGGGUUCAAAGCUGCUUUCAGUUGCGAGCUGUUAAAACAAUUUCCAGCAAACUGUCGCAGCCCAUCCUUGUGUGUUUAUGAAAUAGCAAAAGCACCUUUAUUUUGUUUUCUGCUGUUUCAAAACCAGGCUUGGGUGUGACAUUUGUAGUAUCUGCUCUUUGCUUUCUGCUGUUUCUGCUGAGGAGUGUGGUGGGACGUCUGGAAGCUGUGAAUUAUGAAGGCAAGCUGCGCUAAAGCCUGGCUUAAUUUAAAAAUACAGCAGUUAGAAAAACACAUCACCUCGCUCCCACUUCUCCCCUAGCUCAUGAAGUAAUCAUAUUCUGAAUGAAUUUGAAUGGAUAAAUCCCAUCUAUUUCUCUGGGCCCAUGGAUAGGGCGCUCUGCCUGUCCCAGCCAGCCAGGCUGUGUCCCCCAAGGCAUCAAAACCAUGGAGCAGUCAGUGAACUCAAGUAUUAAACUCCCAGCAAAAGGCAAAACAGGAGGGGGGUAAGGCCAUUCCGCUUUUGCUUUCUGGAAGUGCAUAUGGAUGGCUGCCUUUUCUUCCUCUGUAUCCCAAGGGUUUAACUCCUGGCUGCCCUGGGUCUUAGGUUUGCCUGCUGCCUGGGUAGGUGCAGCUACAGAGCACAAAUAAGCAGAGGCUUCAAAUGAAACAAAUCAGGAACUGAAAUGAGAAUCUCACUGUGGCGUGGCAUUAAAUCCUUCAAUUGCAUUAGUCUGAGUGGAAAGUCAGAAACCUGCAUCCCGAGAUUAAAAAUAACUGCCUUCAUGAGAGCAGCGAGAAUGCCCACUAAUUGUUGGUUUACAGGAGAAAAGCAGAAACACGCUCAAAAAUUGGCUCACAAUAGCAGUUGCUGUAUCAUAAUCUCCUGGUUCCUUUCUUGCCUUACUAAUAAGAAGUAAGACUAAUUUAAUUUUUACAGCGUCCCAAAUCUGUGGCUAUACAAUUCAGAGACUUAAUAAGAUUCUCCUGCUGAGCCAAGAAAAGCUUAGUGGUUUUUAGCUUACUUUCUUCUUCUGGGUUUCAGUUUUGGGACAUAUGUACAGUGCCUGAGACCUUUUUUUUUUUGCUUUUUUUUUUUUUAAAGCCUGUAUUUCAUCAGCAUUACUAAUGUCUCUGUUUAAGUUGUUAUAGGUGUAAAUUGGUUGUGCUGGAGCUGGGUAAAAUCUUGAGAGAAAAAAAGGCAAAUUUUGGCAAAAUGAAAACAUUUUAUGAGUUGUUUAGAUGUGCCAAACUUUUUUUCUGGAGAGAAAAGAAAAAAACCUAGUUUGUUUCAGCAAUUUCCAAAUGAAAGGCUUUGAGAUUUUUUUCUUUGAAGCAACUUUUCACUUUGAAUGAUCUUUGGAGCUAACUUUUGUAAAGGGCUGAAGAGUCAAAGUGAAACAUUUGUUUCAGUUGACCCCAAAUGAAUUUUUUUUUUUUUGAAACUUUUUUUCAGGAUUGCCAGCGAACCGAAAAAUCAGUUAUUCACCCAGCUUUAUAUACCAUAUACUGAUAGAAACUUCAGAGCACCCCAGUGACUGUUUAUGUAGUGCAGCUGCCACUAAGCCCUCCAUUUAUAUGUUGGUAAAUUAUUAUGCUUCUCAGGGUUGUGUGAGAUAAUAAACCAUCAGUAAGCGCCUGGUUUUUCUCCCUUGGCUUAACAAGGAGGCAAUGUUUUACAAAAUAUGUUUCUAACUUUAUUCUUGUUACGUGGCAGGUAUUAACUUUGCUGGCCAAUGUACAGUUGCAGGACCUGUUUUAUGCAGAAGGCGCAAGUUAACUUCUUUGGAGACUUGGCUGUGUUAGGAGAAGGCGUUGCGUUAGGAGCUGUUUUAAAGCAGCGGAGUUGAGCUCAGCUUCGGGGAUAGCUGUACUUCAAAAAGAUAAGUGCAAUGAUCAAGCAAAAACAAAGCCCCUAAUUUCAGAGUUAACCACAGUCAAAAAACACAUUUAAAAUGUGCUUUUCCUAUGGUUACUCUGGGUGAUAGAUUAUAUAUAACAUGAAGCUAUUUAUUUAAAACAGGUUGUUUUAACCCUUUUCAGCAGGCUGCAUUUUCCCUGUAUAAAUAGUUAUCUGCAGAUGGCGCAGGGCAUUCUGGAACAACAGGGCCAAAUUGCCUGUUUUACUAAAGCUGAUGGAAAAAAGUUUAGAUUAAUUCCUGCAGAACAGAGACCAUAACCAGAAAUUGUUGGUCCUGCUCACCUGGUACAGAUUGCAAGUCUGCCAGAGAGAAAGCAGUCGAGCUAAAUAGGUUUGAUCUUGCUGUUCAUCUUAAAUCUUAAUUUAAGCUUAAAUCUUGAUGCCUCUCAGGUGAAGGCCUUUAGCAUUUAGAACAGCCCAAGAAAACAUGCUCAGUGUGUUAAGUGCUCCUGAGGUUGCAGUUUUUCCUUUGUGCCACUGUCCCACCAAGAACUUAGCAGCCAGCCAGCGUGCGUUUCAGUGCCCAGCCUUAAUGCAUAAAGCUGGGUUUGGCUGGGCGUGGGUGCUAGACAGGCUGGAGCUACCGUGCCCGCUCUGAACCAGCGCCAGGAAGGCACUGGCUAGGCCGGGAUUAACUGGAGAGGAAUUUUUCUUUUUUUUUUUUCUUUUUUUUUUUUUUUUUAAUCCUCACCUUUGGAGAGCACUGGCCCUGGCUCAGGUCAAGGCAUGAAAGGAAGUUGGUUGGAGCCAAGCAGAUUCGCUGACCCCCCAGAAGCAGCCUGUGGACUGUGGAAAGGUGGGAGCAACCUGGCUCCUAGAGCAGCAAAAUCCAGUUUUCCUUCCGUGGCUAAGGCAGCUGUGAGUCAGUGUCCUCGCGAGGUUCGUCAGCAGGAGGAACUGGUCUGAGGAACCGUGACAGCGUUGGAGCACAGCCAGCUCGGGUCUGUGCUGAUGGUGUACCCUGGGCUUUGCUUUCUCCCUGUUUGACAGCGUCAGAGGGCAGGAGACAGAGCAGCUGCUGCUUGCAGAGGCCACUACGAUCCACAGAUGCUCUAGACCUGGAGAUAUUUGGGGAGGAACUGGCUGGCUUUUGGGGACUUGUCGGCUGGAAAAGGGAGAGGGAAGGAGGACAAGAAAGAAACCUCCCUGUCCAUGAUCCCAGAGGACCUGGCAUACCCAGAGCAUCAGUCCCAGAGGAUGAGUUUUGGAAAGUCGGUAUGUGUUCCCAGCCCACUGCCACACACAGGGCUCCGUGGCCACAGCACAUGAGAUCUUGUGGCUCCUUCCCCUUCCCUGGCCAUCUCAUUAUUUGGAGGAGAAGGGGAGGUGGGAGGAAAAACCCAUGAUCUUGCUGGCCUGCUGCCAGUUGCUAAGGCAGUUUCUUCAAAAGGGAGAGGAGCUGUGGAAGGAGGGAGCUGCCUGGAGAGGAGGUAGACGAUGCAUGCAGGGACCAGGCGGAGAGAGGAGCCUGCAACAACCGAGCGAUGGAGGCAGGCAGGACCACGGAGGCUCAGCGGGAGUGGAGGUGAAGGAGCCUGGAGGAAAGGGGUGAAGUGGAAAGGGGCAGGGAGAAACAGCUCCUUGCACAGCUCCGCCAUGAAGCCAGCAUCCCUACAGACCUGUCUCGGCUGAUCAGUGAGCUCUGGUUCAGAGCAGCUCUCCAAAGCGUUGCCUGUGGCUGGAAGGGUUCUUUUUCCCCGAUGGCUUUUCCCUUCUGUGGUUUCUCUGGCGAGUACAAGAUGCAUGUGGUCUGGGGAAGCUGGCUCUGCUGUGCGGGCAGGGCCGGGAGCGGGGCUCAUUCCUGUUGCCAGCACCGGGAGGAACAUGCGUCCCUCUGGGCCUGGGUCGGAUAUGCAGGUUAGAUGCAGGGAGCAUUAUCCCUCCUGGGUGAGGGCACCUGGAGCACAGUGGGACAAGGGUGCCUUUUGCUGUCCCCUCCUUACCUUGGUGCUGCGUUUGAGUGUGUUUCUGCCCACAUGGCAUAUACUUGAGCAGGGUUUGCGUAAGCUGGGUGACUGACUGGCCACAAUACCCCAGUCUUCUAAUUAUUUGGGCCCAGAGAGAAUCUUAGUGGCUGUUGUCAGCUGUGGAGUUGCUGCACUGGCUUGUGGCGAUACUGAGCAGCAGUAGAGCUGAACGCAGACUUGGGCCAGCUCUGGGCCAUCGCUGCCAGCCAGGAGCCGCUGCUCAGCGCUGCGGUGACUUCUCUGUCUGGAAACCCCACUCCUGGGGCACACUGGCAGAUGCACCUCGGAGAGGAAGGGACUGUCCUUCAGUCCUGAGGGCACUGCAGACUCCUGUCACCCCAAGAAACGGCUAAGUGCCUUAGUCCUCUGGUGUGGUGUCGGUGUGAGAUACCUCGUCCACCGCAGGUCAGUGCCUGCACUGAACCCCAAACCUGCUUUCUGCUGCCCCCCUGCGUAGGCGAGCUCGGAGCAGGGGCUGGUUGCGGAGAAAUGCCUGGCAGCUGCCGGGGAGCCCUCGGGUCGGGGGCAGACACUAGAGGGAGAUGCAGCUCAUCGGCUCCCCACACAGGUACCCCAUUUUAAAAGCCCACAGCAAUGGUUGGCCCUUGCUGAGCUGGAAAGCUAGAGGGUUGGAGCGGGUGGGAAGCCACUCACUUAAGGAAGGGGUAAGUAGGGCUCUGUGUGUAGCCUUGACGUUUUGGGCCGGAGGCAUCUCUUACUAACAUGUCACAAGUGAGAAAAUGAGCUCUUACAAGGUAGGUGGCAACAAAACUGGAGCAGCUUUGGGAGUGCAACAGUGGCAUCUCCGUGUGUCCUGCAUCAGGUCGAUGCACUGACAACUGGAAAUGUGUGUACAGGAGCCAGCAGUCUGUCGGUGCAGGGCGAGCACCGUUGUAGCCUGGAAGGGAGCGGAGCCACCGGGGAAAGCGUUCACGCUGUAGUCUCUCGGGUGCGUUUCACCCCUUUGAGCGUGGCGCUUGCUGAGCAGACAGAAAUUCAAUCCCUGGGCUGGCUUUAAUUCUUCCACUUCUCCUUUCUUUGCGUUUCCAGUGCCCCAUGUCCCCGCAGCCAUUUGUCCCCGAGCGGCAGCUGGUGCGCAGAGGCCUGUGCCCCGCGCUGCCGCUGCUGGCUGCUGCGCCGGUAACAUGAGCCAGUUCGCUGCAGCUGAGAUGCUAUGUGCGGCAUGUCGGGACGGGGAAAACUCGCUGCUUUUCUGUCUGGUUUUUGGUUUGCUGUAAAUCCAAAAUGGAGCAGUCAUGUUUCUGUGGGUGUAGGAGGCCGGGCAAAGCGUGUGCUGGGGGGGCUGAGAGGGGGGUGACUCAUGUGCUGUGCACCACAGCCGGGGCCAGCCCAAACGGCACUCCCGGGCUGCGCUCGCUGCUUUAUUGCCACAAAAGGCUUGAGCCAAAGACAGGGGCGAGAUCUCCCUCCUGGCUGGCCUUGAAAGCGAACACCAGUCACCUGAGGGGGGGAAGAGGGCACCGAUAAAUGAAGCAGUGGAUUAAGAUAUCAGAUGUUUCCUGCUGGGAUUUAAUGCCCUAAAGGACAGUGCAUUAUAGGUAUUAAAACUGGAUAGAUUCCGCUCUCGGCUAGCCUAGCGGCACCCAGGUGAGCUGCGCGAACUGCAUGGCCCGGCUCGGAGCUGCGGCUCACGCCACAGCAGAGCGGAGCACCCCUUGGCACUCGUAGUCCAAGAACGGCCGCAGAAGGACCAGAAGGACGUGGCCACCGAGCGCACCUCUCUGUGUUGGGGACAAAAGCCUCAGGCCAGGAACAGGCCUCCCACAAGGUGAGGUUUCUCUUGGGAGGGCCAGCCCCGUCGGACUUGUCCCCCUGCGGGGAGAGACCCCUCUCCUGCUCACCUGUGGGGUCUGUCCCCCUUACUG